UCCCUGGUGAUCCAGUGGCUAAGACGCUGUGCUUCCAAUGAAGAAGGCCCAGGUUUGAUCCCUGGUCAGGGAA
rfam:TPA: Bos taurus chromosome 9, whole genome shotgun sequence.